AGAAGAAUGAAAAAAGAAAACACUCUUGUUUUGGAAACUGGGCAUUGCUCCCCUAAUGAUGCAUGUGCUGCACACCUAGGUGGCAAGAAGCUGCCUUCUGCUGAGUCAAACCAUUGGUCCAUCCAGCUCAGUAUUGUCCAAACUGAACCCUACCUGGACAGAUUGAACCUGGGACAAUUUGCAUGCAAAUCAGGUGCUCUAGCGCUGAGCUGUGCAAUUGAGAGUGGGGAAUGAAAACAGAAGAAAUCCUUCAGUUGCACAGCAACAAAAAUGACAGAAUAUCAAAUUUACACUAAAAGGAAUCGCUAUUUGAAAACGACUUGGCUUUCAGCUUUCAAAAACAAAGAAAGACAAAUAAACAUCUAUAUUUCAAUCCUUUGUAUGGGUAUUUGAUAAUAAAACCAUAGAUAUAAAACAAAUGCCCUCAAAUGACACCAUCUU